UAUAGUAUUUUUUAGUUAAGUCAGAUUCUUCAUUUUCUACAGUCAUAUCUAAAAAAUGAUGUCCUUGUGGAUAUCACAAUAAAGCAAAAUAUCCAAAUAUGCUAUAAAGCAUAUAAUAUGCAUCAAGAUAAAUCCAUAUCAAUCUCCAUAGCAAGCCCUGUGGAUAUCAUAACAAACCUACUAUGAUUUUUGAUAGGAUAUUGACUAGGC
rnacentral:lncRNA from 1 species